rnacentral:rRNA from 1 species
UACGUAGGGGGCAAGCGUUUGUCCGGAUUUAUUGGGCGUAAAGGGCGCGUAGGCGGUUUCUUAAGUUUGGAGUGACAGUGGGUGGCUUAACUACCCAAGGCCUCUGAAAACUGGGGAACUUGAGGACCAGAGAGGGACAUAGAAUUCCGGGUGGAGUGGUGAAAUGCGUAGAUAUCCGGAGGAAUACCAAAGGCGAAGGCAGUGUCCUGGAGGGUAACUGACGCUGAGGCGCGAAAGCUAGGGGAGCGAACAGG